rnacentral:misc_RNA from 1 species
UUAUCUUUUCCGCCCACGGUGUGUCGAGGAAAGAAGAUUAGGCGCAUCAUCGACUCACUUACCCGCGUAUGCGCAAGUGCUGGCCAUAGCGUCCACCUCUGCUGCUGCUGCUGUUCUUUCUCGCUCUCUCUCUCUCCCUCAUUCACCAGCAGCGCCGCACGCCUGACGGUGAGGGCAGGGCGGGCAGGGAAGGGGAAGGCGUAAGCGCGUACGUGCCCGAGGCGCAAGCAAAACGGAACCGGGUCAAGAAAGCGAGCGGCCCGCGCACACAGUAGAGCACACGCAGGACACGUACGCACAUACAGAGGGAGCGAAGAAGACGGGAUCGAUAGAUUUCCUCAGUUCUGCCGCCCCCUUACCGAUCUUCUUUUUGUUUUGAGGAGAGGGGACUUCUGCUUCUGCUUCCUCCUCUCCACAUCUGCUGGCUUCACCAUGGGCAGUGCCUGUUCCUAUGGCGAGGAUGCAAGGCAUCAUCGCGAGAACCGCAAGAAUCGGAUCAACCCCACCGAAACCUACGACAAGUGGCAGCAGAAGAUGCUGCUCGACAUCGGCGCCGACCCGCUUGCCGUCAUCCGAGAUUUUCCACGCAUGACGGUGUUUGUGCACACGAUGACGUGCUGCAACUUCGUGCCUGAUUGCUACAGCCCAAUCAGUGAUAGCGAGGCUGCGGCGUCGAGCGAGAAGCCGCACCAACAGGAGCAGACACGCCGGAAGUCUCCUUUUAACCCGCUUGCCCCUCGGAGCAGAAGCCAGACACAUUAUUGUGUAGAUACCGAUGCCGCUGGUGCCGCGGAUACUGAAGGAGAGUCAAAGCAGCAGCAGCGCCGCCGCAGGCGUAUGGAGAAGGCCAGCGGCCCAGCGCUGCGCGUGGAUGCAUCCGCCGGCGCUUGUGCCAACGCUGACGCCGGUGGCUCAUGGAGCUCACCGACGGCGUCGCCAUUACUGGCGCCUCACCCCCCUCCCAACGUGAUGGCUCGCGGCGGUGCAGGGGCUCAGCGUUCUGGCCUUCAAGAGCCGUCCUGCGACGACGACGCUUUCGCCGCUCGCAUGCAGCGUGUGCGAGAGGCGGUGCUGCUGUUGUCGGAGCUGUGCAACGAGCGCGCGACGUUCGGCGCCUCCUUCGAGAGCGCAUGGGACCGCCUUGUCGUGCACGGCAGCGUUGGUGGCCGCGCCAACAACCUGGACAGCAACGCGGCCGGCGAGUCCGCCCCCGGGGCGACGCAAGAUGGCCGCCCGCCGCCCUCUUCCAAAAAGUUUCGGAAUCAGCCCAUCACGCUUGACGUGCAUCAAGUCCUGUUAAAUGCCUGUUUGGGCAGCGGCAUGCUGAUGCUUUUGGACGACGCCAACUCGGCUGCGGCUCUCGCGCCCCCACCGCACGGCGCCGCCCAGGAAAGGAUUAUCGGGAGCGUGCUGGCGCCUUUGUCGUUGCAGUCUGGUGCACCAACUGGGCUGGUGAAUCGCCCCUCGCCGCCAGACACAUCGAGUGCAUCUGGGCUGCAGUUGCAUCGAGCAAGCACGGCAACUGGGCUCACUGCUGGCGGAGCAACUGGAUCAAAGUGCGGCACUGUCAACAGCGACAGCCAGCAGCAGCGGAACCGAGAGUCUGCUGCCGCCAGCACGUCCAGCGUCCCCGCAUCAAUGGCGCGUGCCGCUCGAAUCUCCCCCCAGACCACCGCCGCCCUCAUUGCGACGCCGAGCCGCUACGUCGUGCGCAGCGCCACCUUCCAUCUCAUGCAGUUCGCUACACAAGGGGUAAUGUUCUUCCCGGUGCAGCGGCUUAAGCACGUUCUGUGGAUGCCGUGGUCCUCGCACAUGCAAGACAGGGCAUGGACGAUCCACUUCCACGUAAAGGAUGCGACACCGGAGGACUUGAUUGCGCGCAGGCAGCACCACCUCAGGACGCUGUUCAACACCUCAACGUCCGCUCUGUUGCCGAGCGCAGACUCGGCGGCGGUGUUGGCGGUGGCAGGGGCGGAUGGUCACCGAGACUCACUUUCGACGGCUCUGCCAUCAACGGCUGUCACCACCGACGCGGACGGGUGGAAACUGCCUGCUAUUUCCGGCGCCGAUGCGAGCGCGGGCGGAUGGAACAACACCUGUGGAGCAGGCGUCAAUGAAGGCGUGCACAAGUGCAAGAUCAUUGUGAUCCACCACUUUCAGACGGGACGGCACUACGUCGAGGACAGCGAACGCAAGACGACACCGGUGUAUGAGCUGGACUGGGCGUGCAGCAUUCGGGUCGACCAAGACACCCUACUGAAGGCGUUUUCGCCGUACCAGGGGUACGCCGUCGCUGCGAAGGAUGCGGCAGCGGCUUCGCCGUCGGUCCCUCUUUUGCCGUCGCGCAAUCCGUCUUUGCUGCAGGAGAUGACGAUUGAGGCUGCCUCUUUGGUCUCGCAUCCGCGCCAGCACCUGUGCGACGACGAUGAUCACGAGACUGUCACCGUGGACGCGUCGCCGUCAGUCACGACAUCAGACAACGUCUCUGAAACUGCGUUCCCACGCAGGCCGGUGGUGGUGCCAGACGCUACGCUUCACCCAGAGCUGAUCGCCUUGGACGUGGGCGUGCUCACGACACAGCAGCCGCAGCUGCUGCAGCGCGAGGUGUUGCGUGCCUCUGUAGAGGUUGUCGCCGCCCGGAUGGCGAGGCCGCCUCUCACGUUCUGCAUGGUCUCCUCCACGUGGCGCAAGCGCAAGGAGGAGCUUGACUACAUGCUGAAGCAGCAGUACAACGUGCAACUAAUGCAGGUGAAUGAGCUGCCCAAGAAGCUGCCGUAUUAGCCCUGACAGCUGCUCUUUGCAUGCCUGCUGCCGUCCUUGAGUAGGGAAAGAGGAGGCAGUCGGCCACCUAUACGAACACGUUCAUACAACCCCCCCUCCACCCACCCCUCCCUCCCAUACCCUCCUCAUUCCUCUCUCUCGUUGUUCCUUUUCAUACAUAUGUAUAUGUGUAAGCAUGUGUCCGUGCCUUUGCGCCUGUGCGUGCGUACAGAUAUUCCUCCCUGCGAGAAGGAUGGUGUCGAGGGGCGGCCCCGGCUCACAAACAUGUAUACAUAUAUACAUAUAUAUAUAUAUAUAUGUGUGUGUGUGUAUAGGAAAUCAGAAAAAAGAAAAAUGCGAAUGACUGUCGCUUGCUUUUCAUCGCCUGAUCACUGUGACAGUCGACUCACGCAACUGAAGACGACGCCGAUAUCCCCACCACCCUUCGUUAUCCAUAUCUCACAGCAGGCGCGGGUCUGUGUGGGUAUUAGCAUCUUCCUCUCUCCUCUUCCCUUUCCCCCCACCCUCACCGUCUUCGUCAUCUUUCGGUGUGUGUGUGUGUGUGUGUGUGUUCUCUCCUAUCUUCCUCGCCUAGUUGUUUGUCAUCGUCGCCACCGUGGCCCCUCUGUCCGCGCGAACCCUCCCUUUGACUUCAUUGGCGCUUGCUUCUCUGAUGUGUUCUGCUCCUUGUAGAUUUGAGCAUGUUACUCUGCCCUGUUCUUCGUUUCUGCGGUUCUCCACCUCGGCGUCUUCUUUUUGCGUCGUCGUCGUCGAUGGAUGUGCAACGCGUGUGUCUGUGUGCAGCUGCGUAGGCGAACUUGCGUGUGUCAUCAAUGGUCUCUCUCUCUUCCUUUCACUUCGUUUUCUCUCUCGGCUCGACUUUUUGCCCUCACUGACGGGAGGGCGGACACACCUCUCUCACUGCGUGAUAUCGCAGAGUUCAGUGCUCCCACUGUGGGCGGGGAAGCCGAGCAGCCUCCUCCCCCCCUCCCUCCCUAUCCCAGCCACUGCCGAACCACCCCCUGGUGGUGACAGGGCCAGGGUGCCUAGGACGUGGGGAGGUCAGUGCGAUGCAGUGGCACGGAUGCCGGCGGCCAAUCCCUGGACGGCGUGGCGCCGGUGCGACCCGCGACCGUGAGCGUGCUUGCGCCAUCCAUGCGAUGGGCAAGGCGUCAGCGUGAUACCAACGCGUCUCGCUCGGCCCUCGCACUGCCUGCUGCUGGGGAGGCUGAGCGCCACCCUGCGAGGCGGGUGGGUGGGUAGAGUUUGGGUCAGGGGCCGUGCACAGAUGACUGUGUCGGCGCACUGCUGUGAUGCGUGGUCUGCGGCUGCGUUGCACCGCGCGCUGGGUGCCUGUGGCAGGCCCGUGGGUUUUAGAGUGGGCCUCGGCUCAUGUUGUGUGGCAGAGAAAAUGGGCUCACGGCGCAGCAAAGCAGAAAGCUAUCCUUUGGACUUGAUUGCAUCUCUCUCUAGGUUAUGGUGAUGUGCACGUUGGCUUACCUACGCACACACACAAUACAUAUAUACAUAUAUAUAUAUAUAUACAUGUAUACAUAUAUACAUAUACAUAUAUACAUAUACAUAUAUACAUAUACAUAUAUACAUAUACAUGUAUACAUAUAUAUACAUGUAUACAUGUAUAUAUCGUGGUGAAGGCACGCUUUGAGGAGCGAAGGCGGGCAACGCAUUCGCGCGCUCUCUGUCUCCCCUCCUUAACUUUUUCGCUUCUCCCCUCGGCCGGCGAGUGAGUGUGCGCCGGCCCCUCCGGCAUUCGAGCUGCUGAGUGCCUCGCCCCUGCACGCCUCCCUCAAGACAUCGCGGUGCGGCGAGAUCUCAGAGGCGGUCGAUAUGCCCGCCACUGCUGCCUCUCGCUCCCAUUUUCUCUUCGAAAAGGGUCGCCAGGUGAUCUCAUGGACCUCUUCUCUCUCUCGUCAUCGCCAGUGUCCACGUCUUCAUAGUCGGCCCCGCCCACCCCCGGCCCCCUUCGUGCCUGCACCCUGUGGAGCAGGAAGGAGGAAGGACGGGUGGCAACGCACUCUCGUCAGCAUGCAAGCGCAGACAUAUGCACCUGUCUGUCCCCUUGUGCUAAAGACGCCUUCGAAUCCUGCCGGUAUGGCCCUCUCGGUGUGUACGCGGCACGACCGCGCACACACAGACACACAAGCCGCCCCAGCAGUCGGAUCGAUGGAGACGGAUGUGCCGACUCGCCUGAUGGCCUUGGUGUUAUUUUCUCGCCCUCUCCCCAUCUCUAUCCCCUCCCGCUCUCUCGCACGCUGGUGAAGCGAAACAAGUGUUUUGCAUGUAUAUGUGUGUCUGUGCGGUGGUAACAAGGGUGUUUGGCACGGCCUCGAGGCCGUGAAGUAUAGAAAAGGCAAAAGAAGCAGGCGCGAUCUGUCACGAAUCGUUGUACCCGCAAUGCCAUCUCUCCGCUUCCCCCUCUUCCUCGUGCUUCAGUGACAUCUGUAUUCUCUGCCCGCAUUGUUUUCCUCCGUUCUCAGCAAUAUGCUCGCACCUACUCCCCCCUCCCCUCUCUCAUGCUCCUUGGCUCGUUCCCUGCAUUCGCUUCUCAGUACCUCCCCCUCGCAUUUUACGGUUUUGUUGUUUUGGUAUCGGUGAUGGUUGGUGAUGGCGCUCACAUUUUUAUCUGCUCACACUACCGUUGGUAGCACACGUCUUGUCGCUAUGGCGAAUCGUCUUCUAUCCCUCCCCCUCCUCUUCUUCCGCCCCCACCUUCUUUCCAUUCGCAUCGUAACUCUUUCUAAAUAUACAUGUAUUCCUUUGCUGUCCUGCGUCUUCCACCCUCCCCUCUCCGUCGUGUGCUCUGCUGCUGCUGUCUCACGUCUUUGCUUUUUUUUUCCAACGAUUUCGGUGACGGUGUGCAUGUGUGCGUGUGUACCCUCUCUGCAUGAAGAAGAGGGCGGGCAGAGGCGCACGGUGCACGGGGAAACCUUUGCGCUUCUUAGUCUAUGGUCGACCUUUGCCUUGUAUGGUUGUUUGUCUCUGCUGAUCAGCUUGCUCUGUGCGUGCUGUGCCGUCGUGCGAAGUCUGUUCCGCGACACUCCUCCUCCUCCUCCUACGACAUUGGUGCUUGUGACUUUUCUGCCCACUAACUUCAGCUCUCCCUUCCCUCCGUGGCUCGCCCCCCCUCCCUCACACACACACACGCACACACCUCUCAUUACUUUCUCGCUCGUGUGUUUGCUCCGUUGACGCGUCCGUGUCGGUUUAGGCAGCCAGUGACCAUCCUCUUGCUCGCUACGUGUCACCCGUUGCAUCGCUCCCUCUUGGCUUGGAUUCUCUCUCUGUUCUUGUGUGCGUGGGCGCGUGUCUGAGCGCAUUGGCUUCGCAGUGAUGAAUUCCGAGGUGGCUACGCACACACUGUAGCUGCGUGUAUAGGCAGGCGUGAGCAUGCGUCCGGGAAUAGAACGCUGUCUGCGGGGACGUUGGUGGAGGGGGCGUUCUGUCAGAAGUGCCGGCUUCCAUGAUGAUAUACCUCCCUUUGUGAUCUCUAGUGUGUGUUUGUGCGUGCGUGCAUGUGCGUGUGUGUGUGUGUGUGUGUGUGUGAAGGAUAGCCGUAACCGAGAACCCCCCCCGCCAAGCGAUCGUAAG